rnacentral:rRNA from 1 species
AUGUGCUGUGAGCUCGAUGAGUAGGGCGGGACACGUGGUAUCCUGUCUGAAUAUGGGGGGACCAUCCUCCAAGGCUAAAUACUCCUGACUGACCGAUAGUGAACCAGUACCGUGAGGGAAAGGCGAAAAGAACCCCGGCGAGGGGAGUGAAAAAGAACCUGAAACCGUGUACGUACAAGCAGUGGGAGCACCCUUUGGGGUGUGACUGCGUACCUUUUGUAUAAUGGGUCAGCGACUUAUAUUCUGUAGCAAGGUUAACCGAAUAGGGGAGCCGGAGGGAAACCGAGUCUUAAUUGGGCGUUAAGUUGCAGGGUAUAGACCCGAAACCCGGUGAUCUAGCCAUGGGCAGGUUGAAGGUUGGGUAACACUAACUGGAGGACCGAACCGACUAAUGUUGAAAAAUUAGCGGAUGACCUGUGGCUGGGGGUGAAAGGCCAAUCAAACCGGGAGAUAGCUGGUUCUCCCCGAAAGCUAUUUAGGUAGCGCCUCGUGAAUUCAUCUCCGGGGGUAGAGCACUGUUUCGGCUAGGGGGUCAUCCCGACUUACCAACCCGAUGCAAACUGCGAAUACCGGAGAAUGUUAUCACGGGAGACACACGGCGGGUGCUAACGUCCGUCGUGAAGAGGGAAACAACCCAGACCGCCAGCUAAGGUCCCAAAGUCAUGGUUAAGUGGGAAACGAUGUGGGAAGGCCCAGACAGCCAGGAUGUUGGCUUAGAAGCAGCCAUCAUUUAAAGAAAGCGUAAUAGCUCACUGGUCGAGUCGGCCUGCGCGGAAGAUGUAACGGGGCUAAACCAUGCACCGAAGCUGCGGCAGCGACACUCAGGUGUUGUUGGGUAGGGGAGCGUUCUGUAAGCCUGUGAAGGUGGCCUGUGAGGGUUGCUGGAGGUAUCAGAAGUGCGAAUGCUGACAUAAGUAACGAUAAAGCGGGUGAAAAGCCCGCUCGCCGGAAGACCAAGGGUUCCUGUCCAACGUUAAUCGGGGCAGGGUGAGUCGACCCCUAAGGCGAGGCCGAAAGGCGUAGUCGAUGGGAAACGGGUUAAUAUUCCCGUACUUGGUGUUACUGCGAAGGGGGGACGGAGAAGGCUAUGUUGGCCGGGCGACGGUUGUCCCGGUUUAAGCGUGUAGGUGUGUGUUC